CUGUUAAGGAUAUUGAAAAUGUUGGAAUUGACAGGCUAGACAUCCAUGCCCGUGUCCCCAGACCUAGUUCUUUCCUUAGGUUUGGCUUUCUAAAUGCUGCUGAUAAGC